rnacentral:misc_RNA from 1 species
AACGCAUAUUGCACUCUCUUCCGGAGAGUAUGCCUGUUUCAGUAUCAAUAAUUAUAUUCAAACAUCCAAUUUUUUUUGGAAGGUUUGGAGGUGAGCUUUGCCGAAUUUUUUUUUUUUUUUGGCUGGCUUAAAAUUAAGUCACGACCUGGAGAUAUGGGUUCCUAUAAGCGUAAUAGUUGACCUCUUUUUUGAGGACAUCUUCGCUCACAAGGGCCGGUCUUUGGUGGUGAUUGCUGGAGAAAACCGGAACAUGAUUGUUUCUGAACUUGAUCUGAAAUCAGGUAGGACUACCCGCUGAACUUAA